rnacentral:rRNA from 1 species
CCCUUAGAUGUUCUGGGCAGCACGCGCGCUACAAUGGUCUUCGCAAACGGAUGCAUUCUCGAAGGAGAAUGCCAAUCUUGGAAUCUAUGCCUUGGUCGGGACAGUUGCUUGCAAUUUUUCGACUCGAACCAGGAAUUCCUUGUAAUCGUGAUUCAUCACAUCACGAUGAAUACGUCCCUGCCCUUUGUACACACCGCCGUCGCUCCUACCGAUCGAAGAGUUAGGUGAAUUGUUUUGAUCGAUAAGAUUUGACUAUGGUCAACUCUCGUUGUGAAAUUCUGUGAAUCUGACUGUUUAGAGGAAGGAAAAGUCGUAACA